rnacentral:rRNA from 1 species
CACGGCGGGUGCAAGCGUUAUCCGGAAUCACUGGGUUUAAAGGGUGCGUAGGCGGCUAAAUAAGUCAUAGGUGAAAGCUUGCAGCUUAACUGCGAAAUUGCCUUUGAUACUGUAUAGCUUGAAAGGAGCUGAGGUCAGCAGAAUGUGGCAUGUAGCGGUGAAAUGCAUAGAUAUGCCAUAGAAUACCAAUUGCGAAGGCAGCUGGCUGGGCUUACUUUGACGCUGAGGCACGAAAGCGUGGGGAUCGAACAGG